rnacentral:lncRNA from 1 species
CAAACUACACAUCAUAACAAUAUUUUAUUUUAUAAUAGAGGUGUAGAAGCAAAUACCUGCAUUCAUUUUUACAAAAUCCUAGAAAUGAUCUAAAAUGAAAACCAAACGAAAUCUCUCGACACUGUGAAGAAGUUCCUAUAACAAGCUUCACACAGUCGCCGAUAAUCUAUUUUCCCAAAUCGAAAUUACAAUUGUAACGUACCAGCUAAAAAUCAUUAUGAAUUCAAAUUCCCAAAAAGUUACAGAUUCCAAAAGGAAAGUUCCAUACACCAUAUUUUUGGUUUUAUUAUAACUUUAAGUAGUAAUUUUUGGUUUCUAAAUAUAUUUAAUAGUAUAAACGGAAAUACUAUAUAUUAGCAAGACAUAUAUGAUUUUUUCCCCUUACCUUAAAUCUAGAUAUAUUCCUGCAAAGCAAACCCAAUACAACCGUCACAAUUUACUAUUGCAAUUCCACCAUCGAAAGAAGAACCCAAGAACUGCCGAGAAAACUAGCAGAAAUACAGAGUUUCAACACCAAAAAGAGAAGUCAGAAGUUGUUAGUAAAAUUAGCAGAGUUGCAGAUGACCACACAAGAAGCAAUUCAGGUAAGCCAAGAAUAAUUUUCAAGAGUUACCAUAGCUGCAGAAGUCACCGACAGUAAAAAAUAAAGAUAAAGAAUAGCAAAAAAUGCUGAUAGAUGAAUUAUCUACUAGUUUGGCGUCUCUCAUCCCACCAAAUUUGGUUAACCCACUUGCCCUGUGUAAAAGUUGGAGCAGAGAAAGACGUAUUGAAAUCUUUUGCAAAAGAUGAUGCCAGGCACAUGGUUCCUUCCUUGAGUUCUCCUAGGAAAUCAAUUAAAGAUGAAGACAUCUAGGAAGAAUCCCCCAAGAAUGAGUAGCAACAGAAAGGGUACUUGAAGCACUGUCAAAAGCAUAUGGGACUAUAGAGUAUGGUGAGAAUUUGGUUAGUUCAAAAGCUAAAGUUUGGUGGCCAAAAGAUCGCAUGUUUUAUGAAGGCAUUGUUGAUUCUUUUGAUUUUGUUAGAAAGAAGCAGAAGAUAUUGUACCAAGAUGGAGAUGAGGAAAUAUUAUAUCUUAAAUAGGAGAAGUAGUAAUUAGUUGAAAAAGGUUUAUUCAAAACAUGAAAUUUUGAUC